rnacentral:rRNA from 1 species
UACGUAGGGUGCAAGCGUUGUCCGGAAUUAUUGGGCGUAAAGGGCUCGUAGGCGGUCCAUCGCGUCGGGAGUGAAAAGCUGGGGCUUAACCCCAGUCCUGCUUCCGAUACGGGUGGACUAGAGGUAGGUAGGGGAGAUCGGAAUUCCUGGUGUAGCGGUGAAAUGCGCAGAUAUCAGGAGGAACACCGAUGGCGAAGGCACUUUACUGGGCUAUUACUAACACUGAGAGACGAAAGCUAGGGGAGCGAAUGGG